UAACUUUCUAUUCAGAUGUAUCUUUUUAUUCAUUGUGCUGCAUGAUUAAUCGGAUGAAUUAUGAAUAAUAUCAAUUUGGAAAAAGAUAUCAACUAUUAGAUUAAUAACAAGUAUUAAAAAUAAAGUGGAACGGUUGUAUUUAUGAAAACAGAUGGUAGAGCAUGAAGGAGCUCGUUCGACUUCUUCCUGCGUGCCUUUCUCUACCUUCUAUCUCCUUAUGAUAUAGAGAGACUAGGUUACCAGAAAAAUAGAAGCAAUGCAAAUGAAAAUUCGUUGGCAGUAGUACACCUGUCUUUUUAUUCGUGACUUGUUUCUUUCAUUAUUAUUAUUAUUAUUAUAAUAUUUAUGCAUCUAGAUUUUAUAAGGAAAUAAUUUUAGGUUAGAAUUUAUGAAAAAUUUUCGUAUAUAUAUUACAAAAGUAAAAAAAAAAAAAAAAAAAAAAAUCAAAAUUUUGAAAAGUGAUGUCAAUUACUGUGUUUUAUCAAACAAAGAGAUAAUUGUAUGUAUAGAACCUGUAAAAAUUUUUAAUCUAGCAUUCUAUUUUCCUAUUUUUGUUAUUCCCAUGAAAUAUAAAAUAUUCGAUAGAAAUAUAUAUUAUAAAAAUUAUAUAUUAACACAAAAAUUUAUUUGUAUAAAAUAUAUAUAUCUAGAAUAUAUAAAAAUUAAAUGUAAUAGAUUUUUAUUGAUAUUUUCAAUUAAUAAAUUGGAUAUUGACGCAAUAAACUUCAUAAAAAAUCA